GAAUGAGAUGAUUAUGUCAUUGUUUCCCUAUUGGUUUUAUGGCCACCAUGAUGGCAAUACUAGUUUUAGCUCUAGAUGAUCAUUC
rnacentral:snoRNA from 1 species